UACGAAGGGGGCUAGCGUUGUUCGGAUUUACUGGGCGUAAAGCGCACGUAGGCGGCUUGGCAAGUCGGAUGUGAAAUCCCUCGGCUCAACCAAGGAAGUGCAUCCGAAACUGCUAGCUUGAGUACUUAAGAGGAUCGCGGAAUUCCCGGUGUAGAGGUGAAAUUCGUAGAUAUCGGGAGGAACACCAGUGGCGAAGGCGGCGAUCUGGGAAGAUACUGACGCUGAGGUGCGAAGGUCAGGGGAGCAAACGGG
rnacentral:rRNA from 1 species